CAGUAUUCUGGCCUGGAGAAUCCCAUGGGCAGAGGAGCUUGGCAGGCUUCAGCCCAUGGGAGUGCAAAGAGUUGGACACAACUGAUGUUUGACACUGACUUUCACUCAUUUCUUUAUUUUCAGCAUUUCUCUGAGAUUUUUUUGAUGUAUGUCACUUCAGGCAUUUUAAGCCUAGCGAUGGGCUAGCUCCUAUUUCCUAAAUAUUUGUUUUUUGAACUGUUAGUGUUUACAAUUUGUUAAAAAUAGAUUACUGUAAUUGGAGUCUUCAGUUGUAGAACUGAAGGACUGAAAUCACCUGUUCUCUCUCCUAAAUGAUAAGGUUCUUAGUUUAGCAGACAUAAAACUUUUUUCUGAUGACGUGCUCCACCAGUGCACACUGGUUCCAAAGUAGAUUUGGCCAGUGAAGAUAAUCUGUUUUUGAUAAGGAAAUAAAAACUUGAUUGGUGGUAAAGCAGUUUGGUAUGGAUAUUAUGAGGUGCUGGUAAGAGAAAUACAAGCUUAAAUUUCAAUUGAAAUAUAUUGUGAAUCAUUAAAAAAAAUUUCUGUUUUGAUACACCUCAUGUAGAAGCAGUACUGAAUGGAUUCCAACUAUAUGUUACAUAAGCAAAGGCAUACUUAAGAUUCCAUCUUUUCCAUUGUAGUAAAUGCCUGUUAAAAAAUUGAGAGUAUUAUGUCAUUGUAGGAGAGGGAAUAUUUCUUUAGAAAUUUCUAGAUUCCAGGAAGAGUAGAGAAAGUAACUAGGUUUGUUUCUGUCCUCUAAUGUAGUUAUCUGAACUUUAAAACAUUGUUCCAUUAUUGAAAUUUAGAGACAGUUAAGCAAUGAAGGGGAAAGGUGAUACUAUAAAAAUAACAAAAAAAGAUUUAGAGCUUUUGAAAUAGUCCUUCCAUGGAACUAAAUAAGACACAUUUUAGUAAAUAUCAUUGAUUUAUCUCUGAUACUGAAGAAAAAAAUUCAGAAUGUUUCACCAGGAAAGCGUUCUACAGUAUAGGGAUAUUCCUUGUCUUAAUGCUUUAUUUUGGGAUUUUUUUUCAAUAUUUGAAUUUAUAAAUUUCAGUCUCCAGCAUACUUUGCCAGCCCUUUCUAAAUUCACCUUCCUAAUUUAGAGCCUUUUGUGUAACUCUCCUUGUGUUUUUAAGUAACGGGUGAGCUCCAUGAUGACUAAAGUAUACAACUUCCUACUUUGCGUAGGACUAUUGUUUUCUUGCUUUAUGGUGAUGACAGGUUGUAAUAGUCUCUCUGAGGGAUCUACUGCUCUUCCCAACUGUCUCUGACCAAAUAAAAAAAGGAGAAAAUGCCUUCUGAAUACUGCCUUGUUUUAAUGAUAUCUUAAGCACCAGGUGUUGAUUUAUGAGCCAAAAGAUGUACUGCAAGAGGAACCAGGUAUGGAUUGUACCAUUGGAUAGCUAAGGAUUGUCUUAAGAUAUGUAAGAACAGCACAGGUAAGCCGCUGCAUUCCGUGGUUUUAAGCUUUGCUUUGACGGUGACCUCCAAAUCAACUGUACAACAGAUAGAACAUGCCAGGUCAGUCUUUCUUACUUUUCAGAGAGAACAUGGUUCUAAUUCUAGGAGAAUAAUCUCCCUUUUCAGAUUUGGGGUGGAUGAGUUAAAUGGAACUUUGUACUUAAAAGUUUGGCAUUGGUGGCACCAAAUUAACAAGCUGCAUAAAAAGAGGGGAUGGUGAAAGAGUGACUAAUCUCACAUAAUCACUUUGUCUUACUUUGAGAUUCAUUAUUUGAUCUGUCAUAUGAUUUUGGAGCUAAUACAUUGAUUGACUGGGUGGGUUUGUAGGGGUCUUUGCUUCCAUCUCCAGAUGGGGCAGCCAGGGCAGUGAAUUUAGGUUACAAGUCAUUCAUUCCACACAACAAAUGGAAUAAGUUUUAAAUGGGUUUCAAGUUUUUUGGAAUGGAGAUAAAUUGUUUGGACUCCAUUACAUAUCAACAUAUAGGAACAAUCUCAGUCAACUGAGUUGGCCUCCAUUCUUUUGUUGUGUCUUGUCUUUUCCUUGGUUAUUUCUUACUAAUUACAGAAAAGAAAUUAACUUCAGCACUUUACAAUUCAUUCCAUUUUUAUUUUUUACUUUUAUGUAAAUGCUACAUUAGAUGUAAAAGGUCUUUAAAAGAUUAUUUUAAAGUUGGUCUACCAACUAAGUUUUCCUUAAAAAAUAUUCAGAGUAGUAUUAAUAAGUAGGAAUCAAGUAAAUGCAGACUAUAUUGAAGAGAGAUUUUGGAUUUUUUUAAAGUCUAGUGACAUUUGAAAAUUUUCAAAACACCUGUAUAACACCUGGCUUGACAAAACUCUUUGUUUGAAAAAGUGCUGUUUAAAAAAUGGUAUCUUUGGAAAAUGCAUAAGCGUGUGUGAAAGGGGGAGAAUCCAUAUAUGGAUUUAUAAAUCCAUUUAAAGUUCUUAAAAUUUGCAAAGCUAUUUACCACCAAAUACACUGCCACUUACAUUACCUCUCUCCUUUCAGCACUCUAGAAAGCAAAGAGAAUGGACAUAAGGUAGCAAGAAGGAAUGAAAAAGCAAAGAUAAGUGUCUUUCUGCAGGUCACUAAGGACUUCUUUGACAGUCACCUAAUCCAGCUGAUGACUCCAACCUUGAGACUUCCAGGUUGCAGAUGCUCGUGACAAGGCUCUAAAUUACAGAUGAGCAGGUGGUGACUUACUCCACAAACUCCAGCCUUGUAUAUAGCUAGGGCCCAGAAGACUCCUUACAACACACUUUGGAAAUGUUAAUCCAGUUCAGUGAGCACAUUUUAAAGAUGAAGAAACUAAGGCCCAGAGAAGGUAAGUGACUUGCCAUAGUCUUUUCCCUCCCAGGCCCCCAUGACUGGCUGUAUCGUGAUGCUUCCUAACCCACUGUUUCCCAUCUGGUGGCCUGUGCCAAACAUGGCCCUGCAAUCAACCUUAACCUCUACUACUAAUGGAUCUGAGCUCUCUUAAUUGUACACCUUUGGGUAGCAUUUCCUUGUGGCCAACGGGAAUUUGCAAGAAAGAUAACCAAAACUUGAAGUACAGUCUGUGACCAAAGAAUACUGAAAUUUAUUGACCUGAAUUCCCAACCUUGACCUUGGCCUCUGGGUUUGAGUCAGUGGGGUCAGCGGGCUAUCAUAACUACCAUAAAGAACAGCCAGAAGGAGCAAACACAAUGACUCUUGCCUGAGCAUGUAUUUCAGACAACACCAGAAUCCAUGACGCUUUGGGAGAAAUGAGGUUGUAAUAGGGCUGUUCUGCGUGUAGGAAAUUAGUAACUCCUUGCAGAGUUCUGUUCACCUAGAAUUCAGUUUUUCUAUUUGGAAAAAGAAGCAAUCUCAGUUCUCAGAAAAGAGGUGCUGUUUAAUUGCCUCAGGCUCUCUGGCUUCAUGUUUCUUGUGAAAUGUUUUAGGAAGAUGAGUGUGAUAAACUCAAAUAUGAGUUUUGCUUCUAAGAGCCCACAGACUAGCCCAGCUCUGAUUUCAGGUUGUUGGAGAGCACAGUCCCUCUAGCUUUCUCCCAAAUACCACUUUUCACCUUUGAGCUCACCUCUGACAAAAGCACCCACCCACAGACUUCUGUAAGCAGCUACUUCUUCAGGCUCUCCUGCCACAGUAACCUCGCUGUGGCAUGAAACACAACCAAGCAAGUAACGACCCAGCAUUUUCAAUUUUGCUAACAUCGCUGGGAAUCCUGGUGGCCUGAACUACUAUGACAGCACAGGAUGAAAAGUGACAACUCGUCUUUCUAACCUCUAGAGCCAGUUUCUACAUCCGCAAACCAUUAGUACCCUGAGGACACAAAAGAGAAGCUGCACCUAAAGGUGAAAGAGCAUUGGACCAAAAACCAGAAGCCCUGGAUUCUGAGCCUCCCUAAACUGUGUCCCUAUACAAGUCACUGAAAUAAGGAAACUGUGAGUGGCAGCAUUCCCAGAUUCAGUAUCUUCGCUAAGGAUACCUGCCCAUCUACCUCACAGAGUACUUUGAUAACAAAGUAAGAUAAUCUACAUGAAGAUACUUUAAAAUAUAUACAAUCUUAUACAAAUUAUAAGGUUGUUAUUGAAAUUUUUACAGCACACUAUUCAUUUACUGACACAAAUCCUGCUAUAAUGGCAGCUUUUUUUCCCCCUACUCCAGUAACUUAAGCUAAAACUAUGAUAUUAUUGGACUUCCCUAGUAGCUCAGAUGCUAAAGCAUCCACUUGCAACGCAGGAGACCUGGAUUUGAUCCCUGGGUUGGGAAGAUCCCCUGGAGAAGGAAACGGCAACCCACUCCAGUAUUCCUGCCUGGAGAAUUCCAUGGACAGAAGAGCCUGGUGGGCUACAGUCCAUGGGGUCUCAAAAACUCGGACACGACUGAGCGACUAACACAGACACAUAAUAUUGUUGUAACGUCCUUAUUUAGUGAUGAUUUUUGAAACAGCCCUUAUCACAUUGCUGUUAGAAAAGUGACCACAGACAUUUUCCACCAUACUCUCUACUUAAGUGGAUUUACUUUAAAUCCACUUAAGUCAAAUUUGUGUUAUUGCUGCAGACACCAUUGAUCUGAUGUCUGUGCUCAGUGGAAUGCAGGAGGCAAAGUAGUUUUCUAAUAUGUUUAGAAUGCUAUAUACCAGGCUGUGCGCUGUGGCGCAUCCAAACAGCUCACCCAUUCCCCUUCAUACUUGAGGCUUAUGGGAGAUGCCUUAAGAUGACAGUGGCAGCUAUCAGAGGCUACAUAAUGAUGUCGGUAUACGAUUAUAUAAGGCUGAGAGCCUCUUGGUGAAUCCUUGUGGUGGACUUCUCUCCUUUGAAUAGAGCACAAGAAAAGAACCCUUUUCUUCCCAAACAAUCACCAAUCUACACACAAAAGCACUACACACAAACUAGCACAUACCUCCUUAAGUGUCCCUGGAGUAACAAUCAGCCGGUAAGUUAUAUAUGUGGGGAUGCAGAUGAAAGAUGAGGUUCCUAUGCAGUAACCCAGGAUGAUGCUCCACUGAGGAUAAUCAUACUGGAAAAGUCGUAGCUGUGGUGGGCUCAUCAAAAAACUGCAGAUGAUGAACUAAAACAGAAAUUUCAAGAAACAGUGAAAAAUAUUCACAACACCCACACAGAGACAGUCCUAAUACUGCAGAAAGUGAAGUGAAGUGAAAGUUGCUCAGUCGUGUCUGACUCUUGGCUACCCCAUGGACUCUACAGUCCAUGGAAUUCUCCAGGCCAGAAUACUGCAGUGGGUAGCCUUUCCCUUCUCCAGGGGAUCUUCCCAACUCAGGGAUCGAACCCAGGUCUCCCGCAUUGCAGGCAGAUUCUUUACCUGCUGAGCCACUGGGGAAGCCAACAAUGCUAAAGGGAAGAUAAUUUCAGGAAAUUGCCUAAGGGUGAGAUAUCCUAGAUUGAUCUCUGACACAAAGAAGUCACUAAUUUCUGUGCCUCAGCUGCAAACAAAGAAGGGCUUAUCUUGAUUUUCGUCCCCAACCCCCAUCUCAACCCCUACAGUAGGGAUGCCAAGGCCUCAGAGAGUUACUGAGGGGAGAUACAAAGGAGAAGAGACUGGCAUCCAUCAGGCAUAGUUCAGGCCCCAGUUUGUCAGAUGGUGGAGGAAUAAACUGGGCAACCUCUCCAUGGCUCCUGCCAGUUCUAGGGCUUCAUCUCUCUCUCUCUCUCUGCUUUGUUUUUAUUUAUCUCCCCCUGCAUUUCUCUGCUGAUUGUUUUUGGUAACAUGGAAGGCACCUAUGUCCAGGAGACAUAAUAAGGUUCUCAAGACCCGGAGAGGAUGCAGACUCCUGAGUACCUGUUUCUUCUCUCCCCUCUCUUUAUUAUUAACCCCAAGCUAAGGACUAGGGUUUCAGCAAGGAUGGCUCUGCCACGAGGCAUCUUGACAACAAAUGCCUGCCUGCCACUGGCCCGUGUAAUGAAAGGAAUAAUGGAAGGAAACAGCAGCUUAAUACACUUUUUACUUGAAAAUUCAGUGAAGAUUUCAACCAAGAAAAAUUUCACGCCGCACUCCCAACACUCAGUUUAUGAGUUUUCUUAUUUCAGUUUGUUUUCCAGAGAGAGCGUAAAUGCCAGUUUUUGCCUAGUAACUGCUGUGCCGAAAUCGUUAUUGCUCUUGAUUUAAUUUUAUCUUAUUAUUUCAUAGUCAUAAAGAAGACAGUAAUGUAAAUUAUUUGUGUGGUUAAAUGUCUAUUUUUAUCUUUUUUCUUUGUCCUCAGGUAAUAAAAAUGGGAAACUGUUAAGCACACAUCCAUCUUCAGCACAGCACUAUCCUAAGUCCAGGAAGAAGCUUUCAAAACGAGCCUGGCCAUUUGCAAACCUUUCUCCAGACAGACUCUCCUCAGCCAGCCCCGGCUACUAAGGAAGGUGAUUUUGGGACAGGGAAAGGUAGGGUCUGGUCAGGAGCCAUGUCUGCUGUAACUCGUCUCAUCUUGGUGUCGGUGUGUGGAACCUCAUGCAGUUCAGGGAGGCUGCAAGCUCUCACUGUAGCCACUAAGUAUUGCUCCAGACACCCCCACCUCCUUUGCUCAUAUACAAUAUUUUCUUUUUCAUAACUUGGCUUCAAUGAAAAAGAAUAUUUUAAGUAAGCUACUCAUACUCAUUGUUUACCUAAAGCAGCCUUAAAAAGCCCAGAGCAAGGGAUCUGUUAAGUAAACCCAGAAGUGGAGGACAGAUUUGCCUCCUCUUAAUUGUACCCUGAAGCACCUUUAGAAGAAGUGAGUAUAGUGAACAUCACAGAAAUUAUAAGUCACAUGCCUGAACCCAGAUCUGUACCUGGAUUUUACUGGGCACAGAAACUCAUUGAUUGUAGCCCAAGUGUUCACCCAGUCUGCCAGACAGCCACAGAAGUGAAAAUACCAAAAGCCUGGGGCCAGGACUAGAGUAAGGCAUAUGAGGUAUUCCACCUUGGAUACAGCAUUUAAGGGGGUGCCAAAGUUCAGUAAUCAAGAAAUAAUAUUUUAGUGCAAUACUUUAAAAAGACAAACUCUUGAUAGGACCAGAUUAGGGUGAGUGAGGUGAGACAUGCCAAGUAUGUGGUCAGAUCUUGUGUGUGUUUAAAAUACUAGAAUUUGCUCAUCAGUAAAUUUUUUUUGCAUUAAUUUUGAUUUUUUAAAAAUACUGCAUAAAAACAGUAUUUAUUGGGACUUCCCUGGCUGUCCAGUGGUUAAGACUGUGCUUCCACUGCAGGGCACCUGGGUUCAAUCCUUUUUUCAGGGAACUAUGAUCCCGCAUGCUGCUUGGUGUGGUCAAAAAAAUAAUAGUAAUAUUUAUCGUGGCUACUAGGACUUACUGUGCAGCUCAUGAAGGACCUGACAGGUGUCCUAGUAAUUCUGUAUUCAUUUUCUUAAAGAUGACCCCCGCCAAAGUUCUUUAGGCAUAAAUCUUGAGUCAGACAUAGAAUUCAUUUAUUGUCAAAUGAGAGUGCUCAGCUCCAAGGGUUGCCUGUUUGCCCAAAGAUGGAUGAGCGCCCUGCUAACAUCCCAAGUGUGCUCCGAGGUAGCCUGGGGUAAAGUGCCUCCGUGCUCAUCAGCAGGGAUUACUCUCACUUCUUUCAUUUAUCUGUAACUCAAUUUAGGGUGGAAGGAGCUUUUUGAUCUUCUAGAGCCAGAGCCUGUUCCUUCAGUCCAGCUUAUUAGGAUAUCUGGGCCAUCCCUUUCCUCAGAGGACAUGGGUAUAGGUGUGCCUUCUUUCAGAACAACUCUUCUGCAUUCUUUUUGACUUUCCCAGGGCAGCCCUUUAUGUUUUGUGCUUUGUGUACCUGCAUGUCUCGAUAUUCACCUGUAAGAUGGGCAGCGUGCUCAUUCUUGCUUCUGUUAUGCUACAUGCGUCUCUCUCUCUACCACAGAAGCCCUCCUUGACUUCCAUUCCCUGGACGCUGGAGAUUUCCAAAACCAAAGCCAACUCUGCCCCAAGCAGCAGAAACUCUCAGGGCCCGGGGCUCUGGUAUGUGCUGUGGGCGCCAGUGCUCCUCUAGAUCUUGGCCUCGUAGUUGCUUAUUACCCUGUCAUCUUGCUAUUGCUUUUUGGUAAACUUAAAACACAAUGUAUUUUUAAAUCCAGAAAUUUUAGCUGUUUUCAGUGAGAGGGUUGGUCUGGAUCACUAGUCUGCCAUUACUAGAAGCAGAAGUCUUGACAUAAAUGGGUUAUUAAUUUAUAUUAUUACCAGUGCUUCUAGAUAAUCUACUUAAAUCCUUUCAUUUGUUUUUCAAAGGGAGAGACACUGGAUUAGUGCCCUGAGGAAAGAAGCCAUGUCUGUUAGUUCACUUUCAUGUUCUCCACGCAGGGAAGGAAUGAUGCUUGGGGCUGACACUCAGGAAAGGCAAACAAGGCCCUCACCCUGGGUAUAAAACUUUAGACCUAAAAUUGAACUGAGACCUGACUUUAUCUUCCCUUUCCUCAUUGACUGCCUGUGUAGAAGUUUGAUCCAAUAUUGAAAACCAGGAAUUGAAGCUUUCAAGUAUAAUCAUAGAAAUGUCUGGUUCUCCCUUCAGUUCUGUGUUUGCUUCAUAUAUCUUGGGGACUCUGCUGUUUGGUGUGUGUAAUUUAUAAUGAUUUCCUAUUCAUAAUAAAUUCACCCAUUUUCAUUAAAAAAAAAAAAUAGCAGUGAAUAUAAGUUUAGCAUAAAGUCUGGCCUGGCAUUUCUUGCUCAAUGAACAUUAUGUGUUAUUAUCAUGGAGCAGGGAAGCAAUGAAAUAAUGUGACAGAAGCCAGAAGAGUGGUUAACUUUGAGGGUGGUGGUGUGUGUGUGAGGGUGAAUCUUUUCUCUAGGGCCAGGAGGAGAAGGGAGAUGACAACUCACCAGGAGAAACAGAGGACUGAUGGCUACCCAGCAGAUCUUCCAAAACCAUCCAGGGCUGAAACCAAGCAUUUCCUUCACAUCACUGCAGAACUGAUUGAUGCCUACAGUCAUCCAAAAGAGAAGGAGAUUGAUUAAGAGAGGAAACAGACUGUCCUCCUAGCCCUUGAGUCUCAGAGAGAGUAGCAACUCUGGAAUUUCUCCGUGGGAGGGGUUCAGGGACACCAAUCUGGUCUGAAAGUGGGACGGGGAACAUGUCACAAAAAUACUUGUUAUAGCAAGCAAAGCUCUUUCUACAGAGAGUGGGAGGACUGGUAGACACUGGGGACCUAAAGCCUUGUCUUGGUGCCCCACAGCACCCUUCUAGGAUUUCACCAUGUAUCUGAUUUUAUCCUUACUGUAGAAAAGGAAGUUGAACUUUGUCUAAAAAUGUUGAACCCACUUGAUAGAGACUGACUCUGACCAUAUGCUAGAAACUUUCAAGAGAAAAUUCUAACCACACUAUUGCUCAUUCAUGUUGUCAGAUCAAGAUCAAGGUUCUUCUCUACAAAGUAACCGGCAGGGAAGUGAGAAGUGGGAACUCCGACUGGGGAGAGAUGGAGAAGGGGAAGGAAGAGCACUCUGUGGUUGCUUCCCUGAAAAUGCCCACAGGUCUGUAGCAUCACAGACUUUGAACUUGGUUCUCUGAAGUGCUGAGGGGGUGGGGAGGACUUCUUUCAAACACACAAAAAAGUCCCAAAACCGGGCCCACGUAUAACUCAAAACAUGGGAUCCCCCCUUCUUCAUGUUAUGUGUAAUGAUCUACAUGCUAAAGCUGUUCUGCUAUCAUAGAAACUGGGAAAAUAAAUAUAUUCAGAA